rnacentral:tRNA from 1 species
GCGGGGGUGGCCGAGCCAGGUCAAAGAGCUUAGCUCGGCUACGGCUGUCCCGUAGGGGUUCGUGGGUUCAAAUCCCACCCCCCGCA